rnacentral:rRNA from 1 species
GACGAACGCUGGCGGCGUGCUUAACACAUGCAAGUCGAACGGUAAGGCCCUUCGGGGUACACGAGUGGCGAACGGGUGAGUAACACGUGGGUGAUCUGCCCUGCACUUCGGGAUAAGCCUGGGAAACUGGGUCUAAUACCGGAUAGGACUCCGGACUGCAUGGUCAGGGGUGGAAAGCUUUUGCGGUGUGGGAUGGGCCCGCGGCCUAUCAGCUUGUUGGUGGGGUGAUGGCCUACCAAGGCGACGACGGGUAGCCGGCCUGAGAGGGUGACCGGCCACACUGGGACUGAGAUACGGCCCAGACUCCUACGGGAGGCAGCAGUGGGGAAUAUUGCACAAUGGGCGCAAGCCUGAUGCAGCGACGCCGCGUGAGGGAUGACGGCCUUCGGGUUGUAAACCUCUUUCAGCACAGACGAAGCGCAAGUGACGGUAUGUGCAGAAGAAGGACCGGCCAACUACGUGCCAGCAGCCGCCGCAG